UGGGGAAUAUUGGACAAUGGGCGAAAGCCUGAUCCAGCCAUGCCGCGUGUGUGAAGAAGGUCUUCGGAUUGUAAAGCACUUUAAGUUGGGAGGAAGGGCAUUAACCUAAUACGUUGGUGUUUUGACGUUACCGACAGAAUAAGCACCGGCUAACUCUGUGCCAGCAGCCGCGGUAAUACAGAGGGUGCAAGCGUUAAUCGGAAUUACUGGGCGUAAAGCGCGCGUAGGUGGUUUGUUAAGUUGGAUGUGAAAUCCCCGGGCUCAACCUGGGAACUGCAUUCAAAACUGACUGACUAGAGUAUGGUAGAGGGUGGUGGAAUUUCCUGUGUAGCGGUGAAAUGCGUAGAUAUAGGAAGGAACACCAGUGGCGAAGGCGACCACCUGGACUAAUACUGACACUGAGGUGCGAAAGCGUGGGGAGCAAACA
rnacentral:rRNA from 1 species